GAUGAAGAACGUAGCGAAAUGCGAUACGUAAUGUGAAUUGCAGAAUUCAGUGAAUCAUCGAGUCUUUGAACGCACAUUGCGCCCCAUGGUAUUCCGGGGGGCAUGCCUGUCCGAGCGUCAUUGCUGCCCUCAAGCACGGCUUGUGUGUUGGGCCUCCGUCCUCCUCCCGGGGGACGGGCCCGAAAGGCAGCGGCGGCACCGCGUCCGGUCCUCGAGCGUAUGGGGCUUCGUCACCCGCUCUUGUAGGCCCGGCCGGCGCUUGCCGACACAUCAAUCUUUUUUCCAGGUUGACCUCGGAUCAGGUAGGGAUACCCGCUGAACUUAAGCAUAUCAAUAAGCGGAGGA
rnacentral:misc_RNA from 1 species